ACUCAGGUUCACCACCCUCGGCCCAGUGGGGCAACUGCCAAUGGGCACCAGGGAGGCCUAGUGCUGCCAACCUCCUCUCCACUGAUUCCUGCUGUGCUCUCUGAGGUCCUAAGGCUUAUUAUGCUGGAUGCCCCGGCGUAGUCAACUGGCCAGAGGCAUAGGCAGGGGACGGGUCGACCUCUCAACCCAGGAAAGUUCGGGAAGAACCAGGUGCGCAAAGCACCUGGUGACAGCCAGCAGUCGUGGGAUCCUCUCCCUCCCCACCCACCACGAGGCCAGGAGCUUCUUGCAUUCACCCUACAAGUUACCGGGCUUACCAAGAUUAAGAAGGACUAUGCCGUGUGGGCGCUGAAACCAGAAAUUCCUCUCAUUAAAUGCCUGAGUGUUCACACCAUCCAGCACAUAUCUUCUACUACUAAGUCCAAAUAGAUGGUGUUGGGAUCCUUACCGAGCAAAAGGCAACCAAGUGAGAAAAUGGACUUCUACUGUUCAGAGGAAAGAAGAAUGCCACUCCUUUCCUUGGACAAGAGGGGGACUGAUAGUCUCCUCUCCCUGACUAAACUUGAAUCAGGUUCCUCUUUCCAAUGAGACCUUGACUUUUGGACUUCUGUGUUCAUCUUUGCAUUGUCCAACUUCAUAAGCACCCUGCUAAGUCAGUUUAGCCAGAAUCCUCCAGCUUCCGUGCCUGAUCAAGUUUCUCAGCCUCCACCCCGCGCCCCCCCAGAUGAUGUCUGAUUACCCUGGCCUGCUGCCUUCAGCAAGAAUCCUGUUGGGUUAGUUAGCCAGAUCCCCUUGACCCCUGUUGUUUCCUCUUAGUCAUUUUCCAUCCCCUGACCCCUACCCUGCUCCUUGGCUACAAAUUCCCACUUGCCCAUGCUGCAUUCAGAGUUGAAUCCAUUCUCUCCCAGUGCAAGUCCCCAUUACAGGGGUGCUGACACCCAUUGCCCUCCCCCUCUUGAAUAAAGUCGAGCUUACUGUUCUUUAA